GACGAACGCUGGCGGCGUGCUUAACACAUGCAAGUCGAGCGAAAAGGCCCUGCGGGUUCUCCGCUGGCGGAAGGGGCGGGCAACAGGGGGACAAUUGGCCCACCUCUUUGGAAUAAGCGGGGGAAAUUGGGUCACAUACGCAAAAGCCCGACACUAUACUUGGCGGGUGGGGGAAAGAUUUUGCGGCGUGGGUUGGGCCCCCGGCCUAUCGGUUCGUGGGGGGGGAACUGGCUUACCAAGGCGCCGACGGGUAGCCGGCCUGAGAGGGUGACCGGCCACACUGGGACUGAGAUACGGCGCAGACGCCUACGGGAGGCAGCAGGGGAGAAUAUUGCAGAAUGGGCGCAAGCCUGAUGCAGCGACGCCGCGUGAGGGAUGACGGCCUUCGGGUUGUAAACCUCUUUCAAUAGGGACGAAGCGGAAGUGACGGUACCUAUAGAAGAAGCACCGGCCAACUACGUG
rnacentral:rRNA from 1 species